GUACUGUGCGAACGUUAUUCGGAAUCACUGGGCUUAAAGGGUGCGUAGGCGGCCAGGCAAGUAGGAUGUGAAAUCUUCCGGCUCAACCGGAAAACUGCGUUCUAAACUGCCUGGCUUGAGUGAGAUAGGGGUGUGCGGAACUUCCAGUGGAGCGGUGAAAUGUGUUGAUAUUGGAAGGAACGCCGUUAGCGAGAGCGGCACACUGGGUCUCAACUGACGCUGAGGCACGAAAGCCAGGGUAGCGAACGAGAUUAGAUACCCCGGUAGUCCUGGCUGUAAACGUUGAGCACUAGUCGGGAGGGGCUUCGGCCCCAUCCCGGACGCAGAGAAAUCGAUAAGUGCUCCGCCUGGGGAGUAUGGUCGCAAGGCUG
rnacentral:rRNA from 1 species